rnacentral:rRNA from 1 species
GAGUUUGAUCAUGGCUCAGAUUGAACGCUGGCGGCAUGCCUUACACAUGCAAGUUGAACGGCAGCACAGGGAGCUUGCUCCUGGGUGGCGAGUGGCGAACGGGUGAGUAAUGUAUCGGAACGUGCCCAGUAGUGGGGGAUAACUACUCGAAAGAGUGGCUAAUACCGCAUGAGAUCUCUGGAUGAAAGUGGGGGACCGCAAGGCCUCACGCUACUGGAGCGGCCGAUAUCAGAUUAGGUUGUUGGUGGGGUAAAGGCCUACCAAGCCUGCGAUCUGUAGCUGGUCUGAGAGGACGACCAGCCACACUGGGACUGAGACACGGCCCAGACUCCUACGGGAGGCAGCAGUGGGGAAUUUUGGACAAUGGGCGCAAGCCUGAUCCAGCAAUGCCGCGUGCAGGAUGAAGGCCUUCGGAUUGUAAACUGCUUUUGUACGGAACGAAAAGGCUCUGGUUAAUACCUGGGGUCCAUGACGGUACCGUAAGAAUAAGCACCGGCUAACUACGUGCCAGCAGCCGCGGUAAUACGUAGGGUGCAAGCGUUAAUCGGAAUUACUGGGCGUAAAGCGUGCGCAGGCGGUUUUGUAAGACAGAGGUGAAAUCCCCGGGCUCAACCUGGGAACUGCCUUUGUGACUGCAAGGCUGGAGUACGGCAGAGGGGGAUGGAAUUCCGCGUGUAGCAGUGAAAUGCGUAGAUAUCGGGAGGAACACCAGUGGCGAAGGCGGCUGCCUGGACCGAUACUGACGCUGAGACGCGAAAGCGUGGGUAGCAAACAGGAUUAGAUACCCUGGUAGUCCACGCCGUAAACGAUGAGUGCUAGGUGUCGCGGGUAUUGACCCCUGCGGCGCCGCAGCUAACGCAUUAAGCACUCCGCCUGGGGAGUACGGCCG